CGCGUGCCGCCGCCACCCCUCCUCUCUGUCCGCCGCUCGCCGCUCCCCUCCAUGGCCACUGCCCUCCGCCUCCUGUGUUGACCUCGUCCGCGUCCGGCACCUCCAUUCUGCCACGGGAAAGGACCACUCUCACCCCGUCGUUUGAGCAGCAGACCUGUGGGGAGCUCACGGCGGCCGGCGAGGUUCUUGGGGAUCCUCAACCGCACGCAUCCGGCGAGGUCCAUGGGGAGCUGCGGAAGAAGAUUUGCAAGAAGGCCAUAAUCAGUGAAGGUAGCAGUCUGUGUAGGAACGAUGCGUGGCGAGCAGGUUUUUUCUUUCCAGUAUUGCGAGCCACUAAGCCAGCGAAGAGUAUGCCCACUAGCUGUUUGUCGAAAUUCCCCUGUGAUGCGUACUGCGCUACAGAGCAUUUCUAUUUCGGAUUCUUAUAGCUUGGUCAUGACAUUACCUGUGUCUUGAUUGUAUUGUCCAGUCCACGUACUAGAAUUUAUGUGGAUAAUUUAUGUGGAUUUAAUAGUCCAGAGAUGAAAACUAACAGUCAAUGGUGUUGUUAAGCCUUUUGUUAGCGGAGUGUGCUAACAAAAUUUCUGAAUCUGUCAAACUUGACUACUUCUAAUUCAUCCGGAUGUUUAACAUGCAUUGUGAAGCUUACUUCUUUCA